UUGAUCCUGGCUCAGGACGAACGCUGGCGGCGUGCCUAAUACAUGCAAGUCGAGCGGAUCUMWGGGAGCUUGCUCCCAAAGAUUAGCGGCGGACGGGUGAGUAACACGUGGGCAACCUGCCUAUAAGACUGGGAUAACUUCGGGAAACCGGAGCUAAUACCGGAUAAUGCUUUUGGACACAUGUCYGGAAGCUGAAAGAUGGCUUCUCGCUAUCACUUAUAGAUGGGCCCGCGGCGCAUUAGCUAGUUGGUGAGGUAACGGCUCACCAAGGCAACGAUGCGUAGCCGACCUGAGAGGGUGAUCGGCCACACUGGGACUGAGACACGGCCCAGACUCCUACGGGAGGCAGCAGUAGGGAAUCUUCCGCAAUGGACGAAAGUCUGACGGAGCAACGCCGCGUGAGUGAUGAAGGUUUUCGGAUCGUAAAACUCUGUUGUUAGGGAAGAACAAGUACCGGAGUAACUGCCGGUACCUUGACGGUACCUAACCAGAAAGCCACGGCUAACUACGUGCCAGCAGCCGCGGUAAUACGUAGGUGGCAAGCGUUGUCCGGAAUUAUUGGGCGUAAAGCGCGCGCAGGCGGUUCUUUAAGUCUGAUGUGAAAGCCCCCGGCUCAACCGGGGAGGGUCAUUGGAAACUGGGGAACUUGAGUGCAGAAGAGAAGAGCGGAAUUCCACGUGUAGCGGUGAAAUGCGUAGAGAUGUGGAGGAACACCAGUGGCGAAGGCG
rnacentral:rRNA from 1 species